rnacentral:sRNA from 1 species
AGCCAACCUAGGGCCUGGGGUCUGAUGGUUCCAGGGGCCUGAGAGUCCCAGCGGAAAGCUGUACCCGGUUCUACCAUCCGGAAAAGGAGGAUGGAAAGCUGAACAAGCUCUGCCGUGAUGAACUGUGCCGCUGUGCUGAGGGUGAGUUCCCUGGAGCCGGGAACAGAGAAUUGCUUCAUACAAAAGUCGGAUGACAAGGUCACCCUGGAAGAACGGCUGGACAAGGCCUGUGAGCCAGGAGUAGACUAUGUGUACAAGACCCGACUGGUCAAGGUUCAGCUGUCCAAUGACUUUGACGAGUACAUCAUGGCCAUUGAGCAGACCAUCAAGUCAGGCUCGGAUGAGGUGCAGGUUGGACAGCAGCGCACGUUCAUCAGCCCCAUCAAGUGCAGAGAAGCCCUGAAGCUGGAGGAGAAGAAACACUACCUCAUGUGGGGUCUCUCCUCCGAUUUCUGGGGAGAGAAGCCCAACCUCAGCUACAUCAUCGGGAAGGACACUUGGGUGGAGCACUGGCCCGAGGAGGACGAAUGCCAAGACGAAGAGAACCAGCAACAAUGCCAGGACCUCGGCGCCUUCACCGAGAGCAUGGUUGUCUUUGGGUGCCCCAACUGACCACACCCCCAUUCC